CCUACGGGAGGCAGCAGUGAGGAAUAUUGGUCAAUGGGCGCGAGCCUGAACCAGCCAAGUCGCGUGAGGGAAGACGGUCCUAUGGAUUGUAAACCUCUUUUGUCGGGGAGCAAAAGACGCCACGCGUGGCGUUCCGAGAGUACCCGAAGAAAACGCAUCGGCUAACUCCGUGCCAGCAGCCGCGGUAAUACUGAGGAUGCGAGCGUUAUCCGGAUUUAUUGGGUUUAAAGGGUGCGCAGGCGGAAGGUUAAGUCAGCGGUAAAAUUGAGAGGCUCAACCUCUUCGAGCCGUUGAAAAUGGUUUGCUUGAGUGAGCGAGAAGUAUGCGGAAUGCGUGGUGUAGCGGUGAAAUGCAUAGAUAUCACGCAGAACUCCGAUGGCGAAGGCAGCAUACCGGCGCUCAACUGACGCUCAUGCACGAAAGUGUGGGUAUCGAACAGGAUUAGAUACCCGGGUAGUC
rnacentral:rRNA from 1 species